GACCCUCGGAAGGCUUAAGAACCUCAAGGAUCCGGAAAAAAGACCUUGAGUUUUCCACUUUGAGAGUCAACCAACAUGAAACAAAGUGAAGAAGGACUCCUCACUUAGUCUACACUCAGGAGGGCUCUACCUUUACCAUGUUGGAGAGAAGCGGCAUCUCUGAAAUAAUUUAAGUAGCCCUUUUUUGAAAGCCCAGACAAGUUAAGAGAAUUCACAUCUAAGAUCAAAGCUGUACUGUUGCAGUGCCACUGGAGGUUGCAGAUGGGUUGGAGCCUAUCCCAGUGUCU